AAAUUGAAGAGUUUGAUCAUGGCUCAGAUUGAACGCUGGCGGCAGGCCUAACACAUGCAAGUCGAACGGUAACAGGAAACAGCUUGCUGUUUCGCUGACGAGUGGCGGACGGGUGAGUAAUGUCUGGGAAACUGCCCGAUGGAGGGGGAUAACUACUGGAAACGGUAGCUAAUACCGCAUAACGUCGCAAGACCAAAGAGGGGGACCUUCGGG
rnacentral:rRNA from 2 species